rnacentral:rRNA from 1 species
GUGAACGCUGGCGGUAGGCCUAACACAUGCAAGUCGAACGGCAGCACCGUAAGAGCUUGCUCUUACGGGUGGCGAGUGGCGGACGGGUGAGGAAUACAUCGGAAUCUACUUUUUCGUGGGGGAUAACGUAGGGAAACUUACGCUAAUACCGCAUACGACCUACGGGUGAAAGCAGGGGAUCUUCGGGCCUUGCGCGAUUGAAUGAGCCGAUGUCGGAUUAGCUAGUUGGCGGGGUAAAGGCCCACCAAGGCGACGAUCCGUAGCUGGUCUGAGAGGAUGAUCAGCCACACUGGAACUGAGACACGGUCCAGACUCCUACGGGAGGCAGCAGUGGGGAAUAUUGGACAAUGGGCGCAAGCCUGAUCCAGCCAUACCGCGUGGGUGAAGAAGGCCUUCGGGUUGUAAAGCCCUUUUGUUGGGAAAGAAAAGCAGCAGGUUAAUACCCCGCUGUUCUGACGGUACCCAAAGAAUAAGCACCGGCUAACUUCGUG